ensembl:lncRNA
UAUUGGUUAGGAUCGCACGGGCUGACUCAUUUCUUUUUUGCUGUGUUAGAGGGCCACACCCUGAAUUCCAAAAAAAAAAAAAAAAAAACCUCUGCCGCCCGGCCACACCCGUGGGUUCCUUGCCGGAGCCUCUGGGGUUAGACCCGGCGUGUGUCUGCUCACAGCUGUCCCCCAGAGAGGAUCCUCCCGCCGCACGUCUGUCCGCCCGCCCGCUAGGGCGCCGGCUGCGAAGCGCCGCGGUCCUCGCACGCCCGCCCCGCAGGCCGCGGGAGAAGGCGGCCCGGGCCGGCGGAGGCGCGGGGGCGCCCGGGAGCCGGGGCCGGGGGUCGGCGCGCCGCCGGCCGCAUUCGCCUCUCCACCGGAGUCCGGGCGGGCAGCGCGCACCCUGAGCGCGCCGUACCCGCGCGCAGACUUGGCGCCCCAGGAAGUUUCUGGAGACUUGGCCUCCAGGGAGGGAGACCGAGCAGAAUUCUCAGGAGAAGCAGGAGCCUGAUGUCAUUUACGCUGAUGAUGUCCAUGUAAAGGUCAGAGAUGUGAAAGGGAAUGUUUCUAACCCAGAAGUUAGUCAUGGCUGGUCUAUAUCAAAGGGAAUGUCCUUCACAAUUGCAGCAGCGCCAGGAUAGACGAAGGUAUGUCAUGUGGCAACGGCACAGUCCCAGGAAGGCUCUAGAGGAAUCGUCUUGGAAAGAGAAUCUCCUGAUCUUUGGAGCCUGGAGUACUCAGCAGAGUAGGGCUCAGGUUGUCUGUGUG